CACGUAGGGGGCAAGCGUUGUCCGGAUUCAUUGGGCGUAAAGAGCUCGUAGGCGGUUCGGUAAGUCGGGUGUGAAACCUCCAGGCUCAACCUGGAGACGCCACCCGAUACUGUCGUGACUAGAGUCCAGUAGGGGAGCGUGGAAUUCCUGGUGUAGCGGUGAAAUGCGCAGAUAUCAGGAGGAACACCAGCGGCGAAGGCAAUCCCCUGGGCCUGCACUGACGCUCAUGCACGAAAGCGUGGGGAGCAAACAGG
rnacentral:rRNA from 1 species